GGCUUUAGUCUAUGUGAAAGCCUUCGGCUCAACCGAAGAAGUGCAUUGGAAACUGGGAGACUUGAGUGCAGAAGAGGACAGUGGAACUCCAUGUGUAGCGGUGAAAUGCGUAGAUAUAUGGAAGAACACCAGUGGCGAAGGCGGCUGUCUGGUCUGCAACUGACGCUGAGGCUCGAAAGCAUGGGUAGCGAACAGGAUUAGAUACCCUGGUAGUCCAUGCCGUAAACGAUGAUUACUAAGUGUUGGAGGGUUUCCGCCCUUCAGUGCUGCAGCUAACGCAUUAAGUAAUCCGCCUGGGGAGUACGACCGCAAGGUUGAAACUCAAAAGAAUUGACGGGGGCCCGCACAAGCGGUGGAGCAUGUGGUUUAAUUCGAAGCUACGCGAAGAACCUUACCAGGUCUUGACAUCUUCUGACAGUCUAAGAGAUUAGAGGUUCCCUUCGGGGACAGAAUGACAGGUGGUGCAUGGUUGUCGUCAGCUCGUGUCGUGAGAUGUUGGGUUAAGUCCCGCAACGAGCGCAACCCUUAUUACUAGUUGCCAGCAUUAAGUUGGGCACUCUAGUGAGACUGCCGGUGACAAACCGGAGGAAGGUGGGGACGACGUCAAAUCAUCAUGCCCCUUAUGCCU
rnacentral:rRNA from 1 species